rnacentral:rRNA from 1 species
UACGAAGGGGGCUAGCGUUGCUCGGAAUUACUGGGCGUAAAGCGCACGUAGGCGGCUCUUUAAGUCGGGGGUGAAAUCCUGGAGCUCAACUCCAGAACUGCCUUCGAUACUGGAGAGCUCGAGUCCGGGAGAGGUGAGUGGAACUGCGAGUGUAGAGGUGAAAUUCGUAGAUAUUCGCAAGAACACCAGUGGCGAAGGCGGCUCACUGGCCCGGUACUGACGCUGAGGUGCGAAAGCGUGGGGAGCAAACAGGG